UGUGGGAGCGGGCUUGCUCGCGAAUGCGGUGUGUCAGCCAGCAUUUACUUCACUGACACUCCGCAUUCGCGAGCAAGCCCGCUCCCACA
rnacentral:misc_RNA from 1 species